GAAAGACCCUAAGAGUCCAAAUAACAUUAACUGGUACAGAGUAACUGAUGACGGUGAUGAACUUCUUGAUGAUAGUGAUACUAUCAGUAUCGAACGAGGGAAAGGAACCUACCAAAUGAUCCUCAAGAACCCGAGCCCCGAAGACAGCGGCACCUACAGAUGUGAGUUUGAUCAACAAGGAGUGGACACAUCUACAGACGUCACUAUUGAGUUCAAGUAGAUUACUCGCAAGAUUGCAGGGCACAUGUAUAAGGACAUGUACAGGUUUUUUUUAUUAUGGAAAUAGAUUUUUAUGGAAAUGGACUGAACUGAUUUUUAAAUUUUUAGUAAGUUGAUAUUUGAUUUGCGACUUGACUACGAUCUGAAGUGAUAUUUUUGUUGUACAAUUUUUAUCACACAUGCAUUCAAAA